rnacentral:rRNA from 1 species
UACAGAGGGGGCCAGCGUUAUUCGGAAUUAUUGGGCGUAAAGGGCGCGUAGGCGGCCAUGCGUGUCUUCCGUGAAAUCCCUCGGCUUAACUGAGGACGUGCGGAAGAGACUGCAAGGCUUGAGUCCGGGAGAGGGGGGUGGAAUUCCCAGUGUAGCGGUGAAAUGCGUAGAUAUUGGGAGGAACACCGGUGGCGAAGGCGGCCCCCUGGACCGGUACUGACGCUGAGGCGCGAAAGCGUGGGUAGCAAACGGG